CAUUAAAGAGAUAGGGUCUUCAUGGCCCGACCUCCAACCCUCUGUUGUUAAAACUACCUUGUUGCUUUGGCGGGACCGUCUCGGUCUCCGAGCGCACUAACCCUCGGGUUGGUGAGCGCCCGCCAGAGUCCAACCAAACUCUUGUAUUAAACCAGUCGUCUGAGUAUAAAAUUUUAAUUAAAUUAAGACUUUCAACAACGGAUCUCUUGGUUCUCGCAUCGAUGAAGAACGCAGCGAAAUGCGAUAAGUAAUGUGAAUUGCAGAAUUCAGUGAAUCAUCGAAUCUUUGAACGCACAUUGCGCCCCUUGGUAUUCCGAGGGGCAUGCCUGUUCGAGCGUCAUUACACCACUCAAGCAUCGCUUGGUAUUGGGAACGGUCCGUCGAAAGGCGGGCCUUCCUCGAAGACCUCGGCGGGGUUCAACCAACUUCGGGCGUAGUAGAGUUAAAUCGAACGUCUUAUAAGCUUGGUCGGAUCUCAUUGCCGUUAAACCUUUAUAUUUUCUAGGUUGACCUCGGAUCAGGUAGGGAUACCC
rnacentral:rRNA from 1 species